UAGGGAAUCUUCCGCAAUGGACGAAAGUCUGACGGAGCAACGCCGCGUGAGCGAAGAAGGCCUUCGGGUCGUAAAGCUCUGUUGUUAGGGAAGAACAAGUAUCGGAGUAACUGCCGGUACCUUGACGGUACCUAACCAGAAAGCCACGGCUAACUACGUGCCAGCAGCCGCGGUAAUACGUAGGUGGCAAGCGUUGUCCGGAAUUAUUGGGCGUAAAGCGCGCGCAGGCGGUCCUUUAAGUCUGAUGUGAAAGCCCACGGCUCAACCGUGGAGGGUCAUUGGAAACUGGGGGACUUGAGUGCAGAAGAGGAGAGUGGAAUUCCACGUGUAGCGGUGAAAUGCGUAGAGAUGUGGAGGAACACCAGUGGCGAAGGCGACUCUCUGGUCUGUAACUGACGCUGAGGCGCGAAAGCGUGGGGAGCAAACAGGAUUAGAUACCCUGGUAGUCCACGCCGUAAACGAUGAGUGCUAAGUGUUAGGAGGGUUUCCGCCCUUUAGUG
rnacentral:rRNA from 1 species